GACGAACGCUGGCGGCGUGCUUAACACAUGCAAGUCGAACGGAGUGGCGAACGGGUGAGUAACACGUGGGUGAUCUGCCUUGCACUUCGGGAUAAGCUUGGGAAACUGGUGCUAAUAGCGGAUAGUGCAAGAUGAGCUCGCGGCUUAUCAGCUUGUUGGGGGGGUAAUGGCCUACCAAGGCGUCGACGGGUAGCCGGCCUGAGAGGGGGUACGGCGACCUUGGGACUGAGAUACGGACCAGAAUCCAACGGGAGGCAGUAGUGGGGAAUAUUGCACAAUGGGCGGAAGCCUGAUGCAGCGACGCCGGGUGGGGGAAGAAGGCCUUCGGGUUGUAAACUACUUUGGACAGGAACGCGGUACCUGUCUAGGAAGCACCGGCUAACUACGUGCCAGCAGCCGCGGUAAUAC
rnacentral:rRNA from 1 species